UAAGCUUUCUUUUCUAGAUCUCCAGAUUCCAUCAACACGUAAAUUUGUUGAAUUUUCGUGCCAAGAAAACUGCAGAGGUGAUGGCUGAUGAAAAAACGAGACAGGUAGCCAUUCUGUCAGCUAAGUUGAUUCAGACAAGUCUCGUGACAAAGGGAGAGGAUGAACAACGAUGGCACUAUACACCCUUUUUCAUCCAUGGAGAUGAUAUGAGAGCAAUGCGGGUAUUCAUGGCUCCCAUUUUUUCCUAGUUUUUAAACUGCACACAGAGAAGUAAAAUUGUGCAAAGGACUACUGCUACUACUGAUCAUUGUUGUCCGAAAACACGGGAGAGAGAUCACAAUUCAGAAAACAUCGUCGUCACCUGCAAAGGACAGAGGAUAGUUAGGAUCGAUCGGCCAUGUCUUACUUCAUAUAACAUACAAAUAAACAAUUGGUGUCAAUCAUGUGGCGGAUGAAAAAUGUACUCUCUUAUGUUGAAUUUCAAUCGUGACGACAGUAAAGUGUAACAUCAAAGCAAUUGGUUUCCCAAAAUAGGCCUCGGGCAAACAACUAAAAUCAUGUAGAAAAGGCAAUGAGACACAUAAUAGUGAAUCCAUGAAAAACUAAGAAAAUUAUUAGGGAUAAGUAUAUUUUUCAUCCUCGAACUCUGGCGAUAGUAUAGAAAUCGUCCCUCAACUUCGAAACCACUAAAACUCAGUCCCUCUACUAUUUAGACCGGAUACCUUUUGUCCCUUGCGACGCUUAAAGUGGUUUUGGUACGACGUGUACCCGGUUUUGACUAAAAUCGCCCACGUGGCCUGGUUUUGACUGGAAAUGUAACCGUAAAUGUGCAGUCUAGUUCAUCAUUUACAGUAAAUGUGCAGUAAUAUUUCGGAUGUCUGCUUCAAGUUCAAAUGUGGCAGUAAAUGUGCAGUCCAGUUGAUCAUUUACAGUCAAUGUUACAUCUGGUGCUGCAAGUUUUCAAGUUGGAGGAAAUAAAAGAAAAAAGUCCAUUUUACUACCCUGAAUAAAGUUGGUGGUUCACAAUACCCCUCAUCUAUUUUUCUGUUCCUUUCACCCCCUAAACAAACCCAUACCGGAUGAAAGAACCCCCUGGGUGGUUUGUCUCCACUUGCUGCUGAUGUGGCAUUGGUCAACAGUGGUUUUGACCUACAGGUGGGCCUCCCUUGGCAGGUGUGGUUGAGAUUGACGGGUGGGGCCUAAAGGAGGCGGGGUCCGCUUGAGAGGUCUGUCUCCUUCCUCUGUCGCUCGUCCGCGGGGCAGAGAGGAGCUCGGGCGCUCGUCUCGGCGGCAAAGGCCACCCCCGGCGGACCUACGACCACCGGAUUGACCCCCGCGAUGCAGCGCGUACCCCGGCAGCAGCAGCAAGCAAGGCAACAACGGCACAAGCAGCAGCCACAAGCAAAGCAGCAGCGAGCGAGCGCACGGGGGUAGCUGCAGCUGCGGCGCACACGGGCACAGAUCGAAGGGGGAAUCGGCAGAGGAGCUCACCGCGGAGCUCGUGGACGAGGUUAGUGAGCGCGGGUGUCGAUGGACACAGCGAAAUCGAUGACAAGAUGCGGCGGCCGUCGACGAAGACGAUGGCGAUGGCGAGCGUACGUGGCCUCCUAGCCCGAGCCCUUCAGCGAGGGUGAAGGAGACGAUGAUGGCGGAGCUACUGGACGUCUUGGCGUGACGAGGGGAGGCCGGCGGCCGCGGGAUCGACGCGGCGACGGCGACCAUGAGCUUCAGGCGACGAACAAGGGAUAUGCGGGAGAUUUGGGGUUAGAAAAGAGGGAAGGAAGAGGAAAGAGAAGGGAGGAAGGAGAAGCAGGGCGCUCAGCGCGGCGGCUUGGAACUCCGGCGGUCGCCGGCAUCGGCCGGAGGCGGCGGGGUCGGCGCAAGGGGAGGCUGGAGCUCCUCUAUCUCAGCCCAGCCUGAUGAGGGGGGCCCACCUGUGGUCAAAACCACCGUUGACCACUGCCACAUCAGCAGCCAUUUGAGUCAAACCACCAUAGGGACCGAUUUUGUCCGGUAUGGGAUUGUUUAGGGGGUGAAGGGAACAGAAAUAAAGAUCAGGGGGUUAUGUGAACCACCAACUUUUUUCAGGAUAGUAAAAUGGACUUUUUUCGAAAUAAAAGAGCAAAGAAAGUCCCAGCAAAACUACUGGACUAGUGUACUUGUACUCAUGUUUGUGGUUAUCCCUUGUGGUUAUGUCAGAAUUCAUGUUUGUGGUUGCUUGUAGUAUUUCUCAUUUACUUUGUCAGACUUUGAGAAAUUCCUUGUGGUUUGCUUGUAAGACUAAUCAGUACUUCCUCUGUCCAAAAAUACUUGUCAUUGAAAUGGAUAUAUCUAGAUGUAUUUUAGUUGUAGAUACAUCCAUUUUCAUCCAUUUUGAUGACAAGUAUUUCCGGACAGAGGGAGUACUAUGUUUGUGGUUGUCAGACUGUUUGUCAUGCAAUCUGUUCGGUUCCGUACUCUGUCCAAUCAUCUAUUAACAAGUGAACAAUCUGCAAUGCAUUCAGUUUACACAAUUGUCUAAAAUCAUGUGAACAAUCUGCUAUGAAUCCCAUUCAAUUUAUAAAAUGGUCUGGAACUGAAACCAUCUAGUUAGUAUACAAUUUGUUGUUACCAAACUGGACAAACAAAACCACUUUAAGCAUCACGAGGGACGAAAACCGGGUCCAUGUCAUACUGAAACCACUUUAAGCGUCGUGAGGGACUAAAAGUAUCCGGUUUAAAUAGUUGACGGAUUGAGUUUUAGUGGUUUCAGAGUUGAGGGACGAUUUCUAUACUAUCACCAGAUUUCGAGGAUGAAAAAUAUACUUAUCCCAAAUUAUUAAGAAAAGCUCAACCCAACUACAUCCAACCCACAACUCAAAACUUGUUAGUUCAUUUUCUCUGCUGUUGGCAUCACCGAACGAUCUAGCACUGAAUUCCCUUGAUGAAUGCAUAGCUAGGUAGAUUGUUUUGUUUCAGACCAAGAAAUAGGCAGAAGUUAUAAUGUACGUACUGUCUAAACACAUUUGUUUGCAUUGCCAAACCAGUACUGACAGAGAUCCAGAUUAUUUCAUCUAGGGAAUUCAGAUUACCGCCCGCACAAGGUGCAGGGAGGGAGGGAAGGAAGAGAUGGGGGCAGGGGGCGCAGUACCUUGCUCCGUUGAGCGGCCAUUACGACCAAGCACAACCGGGGG
rnacentral:lncRNA from 1 species